UGUAACAGCUAGCCUAGCCUCUAGGUCGUAGAUAUCUAGGUCUAUUGAACGGAACGCUAGGUUAGCCGAUAGGUCUCAGAUUUGAAGUUUGAAAUAUUCAACUAAAGACUAAUUACAUCGACAAAUUUGUUAAUUUCAACCGGAAAUAUACAUGUUUAAAUUUUUUAUACCUUAAGGGAUAAACAAAAUAUCACGAACUAAAUAGAUUUCAUGUUUGUUAUAAAGUGGUAACGAAGGUGGUCAUCUGAAUUUGAUGCUUAGCAUAAAAUAUUAAGGCAACGAAUAUCUACCUAGUGGCUAGGCUAGCUUACCGUUCAACUACGUAGCCCUACCUAAGCUACAAUCUUGAACGCAAUCCAGAUUCUAAUUCAGAGUCAGACAGUGGUGAAGAUGAUGAUUCAGAGCUCUCCGGCUCAGAAUUGUAUAAUCCUUUUUAAGUUUUGCAGAACAAAGGAGGUGAGAAAAUUAAUCGCAGAAUUUCCAAGUACAUAGAGAAAUUUGCAAACGGUGGAAUCUCUAAAACAACAAGUUUUAAAAAAUUACAAAGGAGGGCCCUCGAAAAACAGAUUCCAAUUUUGGGGCCACAAUUACAGAGGGCAGUUCAGCCAGAGAGGGAGGGGUUACAGAGGAGCCUCCAGAACUGCAACAAUUACAAGAGAAUAACUAAAUCAGGUUAGAAGAUGGAACAAAUAAGUUUUCAAAAGUUUUUCAAGAGCAUUGAAUUAGAAAAAUCUGAUGGAUGAUGCCAGUUUGGUCUCUGCGGGAUACUGUUUUUUGUAUAUUUUCCUGAUUAAAUAAUGUCUUAUAAAGUGAA